rnacentral:lncRNA from 1 species
AUUUGUUUCUUUAAUACAAUCACCAACACGAGAACAAGGAGAAAACAGGAGCCAACGUUUCGACGAGUGGA